rnacentral:rRNA from 1 species
CGUGGGUAACCUGCCCAAGAGAUCGGGAUAACACCUGGAAACAGAUGCUAAUACCGGAUAACAACAGAUGAUGCCUAUCAACUGUUUAAAAGAUGGUUCUGCUAUCACUCUUGGAUGGACCUGCGGUGCAUUAGCUAGUUGGUAGGGUAACGGCCUACCAAGGCGAUGGUGCAUAGCCGAGUUGAGAGACUGAUCGGCCACAUUGGGACUGAGACACGGCCCAAACUCCUACGGGAGGCAGCAGCC